rnacentral:rRNA from 1 species
CCUACGGGAGGCAGCAGUGGGGAAUAUUGCACAAUGGGCGAAAGCCUGAUGCAGCAACGCCGCGUGAGCGAUGAAGGCCUUCGGGUCGUAAAGCUCUGUCCUCAAGGAAGAUAAUGACGGUACCUGAAGAAAAAGCAUCGGCUAACUCCGUGCCAGCAGCCGCGGUAAUACGGAGGAUGCGAGCGUUAUCCGGAUUUAUUGGGUUUAAAGGGUGCGUAGGCGGAAUGCCAAGUCAGCGGUAAAAUCGCGGGGCUCAACCUCGCUCCGCCGUUGAAACUGGCGUUCUUGAGUGGGCGAGAAGUAUGCGGAAUGCGUGGUGUAGCGGUGAAAUGCAUAGAUAUCACGCAGAACUCCGAUUGCGAAGGCAGCAUACCGGCGCCCAACUGACGCUGAAGCACGAAAGCGUGGGUAUCGAACAGGAUUAGAUACCCCUGUAGUC